UUCAAUUUUCUCGCAGAUGGGCAAUAUUCAUAUUGAAAUUGAAUUCAUUAAUGAUUUCAAGUUUGAACGAAUUAAACAUUUUUCCAGGCUGCAGUUAAAAAAGUUUUAUAGCUAAUUUUUAAGACCUAAAAUACAUCGAUUUCAUGAUAUUUAAGUUAAAAUAUGAGUUCAAUUUAUCAAACCAAGAAUGAUAUCAAACACUGUAUACUAACGUCAAAAAAAUUAGCUUCAUAAUUAGAAAUCGUUUAUUAUGACGUUCAAGGGACCAAGGAAAAUAGGUUAUAUCAACUGUUUGUCGUUAUAACCAAAAUGAUAGAAAAAAAAUUGUGACUUCAAUAGGUACAUAAUAUAGAAAAAAAUUCUUCAAAAUAUGUUUUUGGACUGAAUGUUUUCAAUAUAACCAAAAAUAACCGUCAUAACAUCCAUAUAGUCAUUAUACAGGCAUCAUAAUAAUCGAUACAAGUUAGUACAUGCAAUAUAAGAGUUUUGCUGGGACUUUCAAUUUAAGGUCAUUACAACCGGUGUCAUUAUAAUGUAUGAUAUAACUUACAGUUUUACUAUUUUUUUUUUACAUAUUAUUAAUAAUAAUUAAAAUGUAUUUUAAUGUCAUAAGUAGUUUCAUAAAAAAUGGUCCAAUUAGUUAAUUAUUAAAGUACUGCACAUACAUUGUGAACCAUUGAUUUGGUCCAUUCCAGUAAUAAUAAUUAUUAUUUCAUCAGUGCAUAAUGUUAUUUUCACUAACUUUCUAGUACUUGUGAAUGAAAUUAUCAGAAAACAAUAGUAAAAUACCUCGUUAACUGUAAGUUUAACUAUCUAACUUGUAACUUGGUUCUUUAUACAUUUUAAUAUUAUUAAGUUUUAAUACUAUUUCAGAACUUUGGUCAUAGUGUAGAACUGUAGAACUAAGAAUACAAAAUAUGAUUGAUAACUAAUUGAUAAUUGACAUUUUUAUUGAAUUAACUGCUGUAUUCUAAUCAUUACAUG